UUUUGGCAUACUAUUUUCAACAUACUAUUCUUUGGGACACACUUAUUUUAAUCUCACGUAGCCUAUUUUUAGGAUGGACAGUAUUGGACAUUGGGACACAGGGUUACUCUCGGUUUUGUUGGAGGUGAACAGAACAUGGCGAAGAGUGGAGCAGGCAGAAAGAGUCCAGAUUUUGAUCGCCCCUACAUGGGUAAAGAUUCAGAUCAGCCCAAACGUAAGUCCAUCUGACAGAAAAGUGUGUUAUAUAUAUCACAGUUUGGAGCCCUGAUUCUGUGUUAAUAAUCUCUCAUUUGUGUCAGGAAUGGUGCCAGUUUAUAAUUAAAUUUGAUUUCCAUGGUAAUUGGUUAAAUAGUUUAUUUCUGUGACACUGCGGUGAUGACAGUCUUUUGGGGAAUAGGAAGUUGUUUUUCUGCAGUGAACUGUUAUCUGAAUUGAACUCAUUGUGCUGUCCUGUGGACUCUGACAGAGUUCGCUCUACAUUAAAAAUGUGCAGACUGUUAUUAAAUUACACAAUCAUAGGAUCCAGUUGAUUAAGCAACAGUGGAGGCAAAACAAGAGAGAAAUUUCAAAAAGGAGAAUUAAAAUUAAAAAAGGAAGGAAAGUAAAGUAUGUGCAGGAGAUUAGUGCCAUACUUUUG